UACGGGGGGAGCAAGCGUUGUUCGGAUUUACUGGGCGUAAAGAGCUCGUAGGCGGCUUAGCAAGUCGGGUGUGAAACCUCCAGGCUCAACCUGGAGACGCCACUCGAUACUGCUAUGGCUUGAGUUCGGUAGGGGACCAUGGAAUUCCUGGUGUAGCGGUGAAAUGCGCAGAUAUCAGGAGGAACACCGAUGGCGAAGGCAGUGGUCUGGGCCGAUACUGACGCUGAGGAGCGAAAGCGUGGGGAGCGAACAGG
rnacentral:rRNA from 1 species